rnacentral:misc_RNA from 1 species
CGCUCGCGGCGAACGCGCCCCGCAGUCCCAGCGCUUNNNGRGGNAGCACCUCUGGCCCGUGCGCCGCCCUCGAGCUCUCCGAAAAGUAAGUGGUGGCUAGCGGCGCCGAAGUCAGCGGCUCCUGAGUCUAAACCCGGUUGGCGCUUGCCCCUCGCGUGCCCUCCGGUUAGAGGCGGGCGUGGCGGCCCGGGGGCCCCCCCMCCCCMCCCCGUUGCUACGCACUGUGGGUCCGUCUGCACGGGAGCCGGAUUGCCGAACCCCGCGUUGAACGCAAGUUUCUGAGCUACCAAGUGCCCUAAGACGUUAAGUGUGGUUCAUAGNGUAAAGCGAUGCAAGAAGUAGCUACGCUCUCGGCUCUAUAGGCAACGGCUCUCAGCAAAACCUAAUGUUCACUUUYUUCCGCGGCGCAGGGCGGCGUGUGGCAGAGGCCCCSGCSSSSUCGCACGAGAGAGCAACCUAAAGGAACCGCGCCAGGCGCGGCCCCCAAGCAACAAAGNGGCGGCCCUAUCCCUGCACARGGUGAGGGCUGUSGUUCCCCCCCGUUCCUCCGCNCNGGUGUCGCCUCGCGUAGGGGGCAGGGSGGCNGGCCAC